UACGUAGGGUGCGAGCGUUGUCCGGAAUUAUUGGGCGUAAAGAGCUUGUAGGCGGUUUGUUAAGUCUUGCGUGAAAUCUCGGGGCUCAACCCCGAGCGGUCGUGAGAAACUGGCAGGCUAGAGUGCGGGAGAGGAGAGUGGAAUUCCUGGUGUAGCGGUGAAAUGCGCAGAUAUCAGGAAGAACACCCGUGGCGAAGGCGGCUCUCUGGAACGCAACUGACGCUGAGACGCGAAAGCGUGGGGAGCAAACAGG
rnacentral:rRNA from 1 species